rnacentral:rRNA from 1 species
AGGGUUUGAUCAUGGCUCAGGAUGAACGCUGGCGGCGUGCCUAAUACAUGCAAGUCGAGCGAACAGACGAGGAGCUUGCUCCUCUGACGUUAGCGGCGGACGGGUGAGUAACACGUGGAUAACCUACCUAUAAGACUGGGAUAUCUUCGGGAAACCGGAGCUAAUACCGGAUAAUAUAUUGAACCGCAUGGUUCAAUAGUGAAAGACGGUUUUGCUGUCACUUAUAGAUGGAUCCGCGCCGCAUUAGCUAGUUGGUAAGGUAACGGCUUACCAAGGCAACGAUGCGUAGCCGACCUGAGAGGGUGAUCGGCCACACUGGAACUGAGACACGGUCCAGACUCCUACGGGAGGCAGCAGUAGGGAAUCUUCCGCAAUGGGCGAAAGCCUGACGGAGCAACGCCGCGUGAGUGAUGAAGGUCUUCGGAUCGUAAAACUCUGUUAUUAGGGAAGAAUAAAUGUGUAAGUAACUAUGCACGUCUUGACGGUACCUAAUCAGAAAGCCACGGCUAACUACGUGCCAGCAGCCGCGGUAAUACGUAGGUGGCAAGCGUUAUCCGGAAUUAUUGGGCGUAAAGCGCGCGUAGGCGGUUUUUUAAGUCUGAUGUGAAAGCCCACGGCUC